rnacentral:rRNA from 1 species
UCCCUGAUGGAGGAAAGGGCGGGAAGCCGCUCAAGGAUGGGCUCGCGUCCCAUCAGCUAGUUGGUGAGGUAACGGCUCACCAAGGCUACGACGGGUAGCCGGCCUGAGAGCGUGGUCGGCCACACUGGGACUGAGACACGGCCCAGACUCCUACGAGAGGCAGCAGUGGGGAAUCUUCCGCAAUGGGCGAAAGCCUGACGGAGCGACGCCGCGUGAGCGAAGAAGGCCUUCGGGUCGUAAAGCUCGAUAGUGUGGGAAGAAGGAAUGACGGUACCACACGAAAGCCCCGGCUAACUACGUGCCAGCAGCCGCGGUAAGACGUAGGGGGCGAGCGUUGUCCGGAGUUACUGGGCGUAAAGGGCGCGUAGGCGGUUUAGCAAGUCAGGUGUAAAAGGCCACGGCUCAACCGUGGAUAUGCAUCUGAAACUGCUGAGCUAGAGGGCAGGAGAGGGGAGUGGAAUUCCCGGUGUAGCGGUGAAAUGCGUAGAUAUCGGGAGGAAUACCAGUGGCGAAAGGCGA